GACGAACGCUGGCGGCGUGCUUAACACAUGCAAGUCGAACGAAGUGGCGAACGGGUGAGUAACGCGUAAUCAACCUGCCCUUCAGAGGGGGACAACAGUUGGAAACGACUGCUAAUACCGCAUACGGAAGGAGGGGAUUGCGUGUGAUUGGCUAGUUGGAGGGGUAACGGCCAACCAAGGCGAUGAUCAGUAGCCGGUCUGGGAGGAUGAACGGCCCCAUUGGGACGGAGACACGGCCCAGACUCCCUCGGGAGGCAGCAGGGGGGAAUCUUCCGCAAUGGACGAAAGUCUGACGGAGCAACGCCGCGUGAGUGAUGACGGCCUUCGGGUUGUAAAGCUAUGUUAAUCGGGACGCGGUACCGGAAUAGAAAGCCACGGCUAACUACGUGCCAGCAGCCGCGGUAAUUC
rnacentral:rRNA from 1 species